GAGUUCAUGGCUCAGUGGUUAGAGCGUUCGGUUCACAUCCGAAAGGUCGAUGGUUCAAAUCCAUCUGGACUCA
rnacentral:tRNA from 1 species